rnacentral:rRNA from 1 species
AACGAACGCUGGCGGCAGGCCUAACACAUGCAAGUCGAACGCCCCGCAAGGGGAGUGGCAGACGGGUGAGUAACACGUGGGAACGUACCCUUCGGUUCGGAAUAACACAGAGAACUUUGUGCUAAUACCGGAUACGUCCGAGAGGAGAAAGAUUUAUCGCCGAUGGAUCGGCCCGCGUCUGAUUAGCUUGUUGGUGAGGUAACGGCUCACCAAGGCGACGAUCAGUAGCUGGUCUGAGAGGAUGGUCAGCCACACUGGGACUGAGACACGGCCCAGACUCCUACGGGAGGCAGCAGUGGAGAAUAUUGGACAAUGUGGGAAACCCUGAUCCAGCCAUGCCGCGAGAGUGAUGAAGGCCCUAGGGUUGUAAAGCUCUUUUACCUGGGAAGAUAAUGACUGUACCAGGAGAAUAAGCCCCGGCUAACUUCGUGCCAGCAGCCGCAGUAAGAC